GCCCGUUGCUGCAGCCAGCUGGGAGCAGCAGGGGCUCCCCCAGCCCAUCCACCAGUCUGCACAGCACAGCUUUGUCCCUUGUCCCCACUGUCACUGGGAGGUACCGAUGCUUCCCAUCAAUUUAGGAGACAGCUGAGACCAGAUGCAACGUUCAGAAGAUAAAAGUCAGGAGGGAUGAACCCCUCCAGGACACGUGCCCGCAGGUUGCUGAGCCAGCACAUCCCCACUGGUAAGCUGAUGUCCUAAUGGACCGGCGUUCCUUUUCCCUUCCCACAGCAUCUGGCUGUUAAUUCAUCUUGUGAUUUGACUCUGAAAGUCCCAGCGUGUUUUUAGACUCCGGAGUAUUUUCAAGAAUUCACCUAGACACUUGGAAACAGGAGGGAAAAAGAACAGGAGCAUGUGAAUGAAUAUGAUUAACGGGUCAUGGUUAUUCACAGAUCCAUCUCUUAAAUGUAAUUAGUUCAUUACAAUAUAUCCAUGUUACAGAACUUCUAUAAACAAGUGUUAAGGUCUGUCGACUCAGACCCUUUAAACUCCAGAUCUUGGAGAGGAAAAAAGAUUUGGAAUGGAGAAAAAUAGCAAUUAGAGUUAAAUGGCAAAAUGGAGACUUAAUGUGUAGUGAGCAAAACUCUUUUUAGUGGAAAAUGUUUUUUAUGUUAACUUUUGUAAGAAAACAGUUUUCCAUACUUGUCAGGCUUGACAGUUAAAGUUAAUGGUGUUAAAAAACAGAGUACUGAAAAAUGUUCCCUUCAGCGUAAAAGAUUUAUUCAAUGAGAGUUUGCUUGAAAAGUUAUUUUGGCGAACGGUGCUGGCUUUUGCCUAACGCUUGGAACAAAGGUCCUUGCUGUGUUACCAGGAUGGAGACAGCUUCAAUUCAUGAUUUCCCAAUUAAGAUGACAUGACCUAUUUUCUUGUAUUGUUGACCUAUUGUUGACCCCUUUUUAAAAAGAAUGCCACCCUUCAAAUGUCUUUUUUUUCCCUCUUUCUGUCUCCUCCUGGAAAAACACAUGGAGCAAGCGCUGAUCUCGCUUCUGCCUGGCGUAAAGCUGGGUACAUGCUGGGAUGCUCAGAGACAGAAUUUGUGACUUCAUCUGCACUGAAAGAAAAUUCAAAACAGCUAGCUGGAAACUAAGGACUUCUUUGUGUGCGGCGUUUCCAGUCCCAAUCCCAGCAAGCCCAGAAAACCUGUGCUUUCCCGGCAGUGGAUGUGGCAGAGAGACCUGAUUGAUGGGAUGGAGCCCGGCUCGGCUGUCGGAUGCGCCUGGGAGGCGCUUGCGUUUCUUCGUGGCCUUUUGAUGGGGGACAGCCAGACGUAGUGUCGGCUUUCUC
rnacentral:lncRNA from 1 species